UCCAACAGAAUCAGCCUGGGCCUACUUCAUCUCAAGCCCAAACAUGGGGGUUCAAUGGACAAUGGAGGGAGUGAGCACUGCAAAUAAUUAGGCCUAACACAAGUAUUGGGGCCUAAAUGGGGAAACUGGCCUGCUUGAGCAAAAAAUCCCAAAUCCUAAGUCAAACCUGAGCUCAAUCAAGUAAGCCACAACCAAGUCGUCAUGUUCGAACAAGGAAAAAGAACUCAUACGUCAAGACUCACCAGUGGUGACGAAAAACUCCUCGCCGGCGGCGUAGGCGAGCAACCAGGAAUCCGGUCUCGUUCAUGUGUUAUGCUUCGAUCUGAUCUUUCACUCCAUAUCGUGAUUGUCCGAUUUGCUCCGUUUUCAACGAAGACUCCGAUUUCGCGGCGAUGCAUUCUGAGAUGACGACGACAAGUUCAGGUCCGCGUGCAUUUAUCCAGGAGUGCUUCGCCUCGUAUUUCUCUUCUGCUUCAAUAUUCUAUUUCUGUUUCUCGGUGUCUCAUCGUAGUGGAUCGCCUUGCCGUUUUGGAUGAAGACUAUGCAUUGUUGUUGUUCGGUUUCACGAUAUGGUGAUGCAGGUGAUUUGCAGAAUUGAAAACAAAGUGAUGUGUGGUGCGUGAGAAUCUUCGUAAUGGAUGUGAGAGUUUGUAGAGAUUCAACUCAGAAGUAGGAGGAGCGAUUUGUUCUGCAUAAUCGACUUUGGUUGAAAAAAAAUGGGGGAUUCGGGAGAGAAGUUGAGAGGGAAAAGAUUGUGAAGCAGAAAGGGAGGGAGCAAAAAAAAGAGAGCCCCAAAAUCACAUUGUAAUCGUGUAUUUAUAGCUCUCAAAAUGAACUUUGGUGAGUUUUUUAUUCUAAUCUGCAUUUGUGUUUUGAAUUCCUUUCAAUUGAAUCCCUCUGUGUUUUGCUCACAUUGCUGCUUUUUAUUGUUGGUUGCCGUUUUGCAUUUCAAUACUCAUAUCAUUUUGCUGCAUUUUUUGUGUCGUUUAUGGUUUUUGAUGCGAGUUCGUCGUUUGGAAGUGAGCUUGUAGUUGCUGGUGUCAUUUGGUCGUGUUAGCUGCAUUUGGAUUGUUAUGCAUUUGUCGUUUAUGCUAUUGGCAUGCACAGAAUGCUGUUGCGUUCCACGUUUCCUCAUCUUUCACGCUUGCAUUCUGUUUUGGUUGGCUUUGUGUUUCGUUCUGCUCUGGACUAAGCAUUCGUUGUGUUUUGCUACAGCUACUUGCCUUUGUCUUAUUUGCAAGGACUUGGAUUUUAAUAUGGACAUGGGUAUUGUAAUAUGGAUAAUAGGCCUUUUGGAUUAAGUGGAUUAGAGAUUACUUGUAAAAUGGACUAAAUUGUAAUUGGAUUUAAAAAAUGGAUAAUAAAUGGAUUAGUUAAAAUGAAAA